rnacentral:rRNA from 1 species
UGGCGGCAUGCCUUACACAUGCAAGUCGAACGGCAGCGACGGGAGCAAUCCUGGUGGCGAGUGGCGAACGGGUGAGUAAUAUAUCGGAACGUGCCCAGUCGUGGGGAUAACGUAGCGAAAGCUACGCUAAUACCGCAUACGAUCUAUGGAUGAAAGCGGGGGAUCGCAAGACCUCGCGCGAUUGGAGCGGCCGAUAUCAGAUUAGGUAGUUGGUGAGGUAAAGGCUCACCAAGCCGACGAUCUGUAGCUGGUCUGAGAGGACGACCAGCCACACUGGGACUGAGACACGGCCCAGACUCCUACGGGAGGCAGCAGUGGGAAUUUUGGACAAUGGGCGCAAGCCUGAUCCAGCAAUGCCGCGUGCAGGAUGAAGGCCUUCGGGUUGUAAACUGCUUUGUACGGAACGAAACGGUGAGCUCUAAUACAGUUUGCUAAUGACGGUACCGUAAGAAUAAGCACCGGCUAACUACGUG